rnacentral:tRNA from 1 species
GAAGUUGUGGCUCAUUGGUAGAGCACUUGCCUAGCAUGUAUGAGGCACUGGGUUUGAUUCUCAGCACCUCA